rnacentral:rRNA from 1 species
GAUGACGCGGAGGGACAUUACCGAGUUUACAACUCCCAAACCCCAAGGUGAACGUUACCAAACUGUUGCCUCGGCGGGAUUUCUGCCCCGGGCGCGUCGCAGCCCCGGACCAAGGCGCCCGCCGGAGGACCAAUUUACAAACUCUUUUGUAUAUCCCAUCGCGGAUUCUUUACAUUCUGAGCUUUCUCGGCGCUCCUAGCGAGCGUUUCGAAAAUGAAUCAAAACUUUCAACAACGGAUCUCUUGGUUCUGGCAUCGAUGAAGAACGCAGCGAAAUGCGAUAAGUAAUGUGAAUUGCAGAAUUCAGUGAAUCAUCGAAUCUUUGAACGCACAUUGCGCCCGCCAGUAUUCUGGCGGGCAUGCCUGUCCGAGCGUCAUUUCAACCCUCGAACCCCUCCGGGGGGUCGGCGUUGGGGAUCGGCACUUACCUGCCGGCCCCGAAAUACAGUGGCGGUCUCGCCGCAGCCUCUCCUGCGCAGUAGUUUGCACACUCGCACCGGGAGCGCGGCGCGUCCACGGCCGUAAAACAACCCAAACUUCUGAAAUGUUGACCUCGGAUCAGGUAGGAAUACCCGCUGAACUUAAGCAUAUCAAUAAGGCGGAGGAAUUUUU